rnacentral:rRNA from 1 species
GGUUAAAAAGCUCGUAGUUGGAUUUCUGUCGAGAACGCGCGGUCCACGCUUCGCGUGAGCAUCUGUGUCGGUCUUGGCAUCCUCUAGAGGAUCGUUUCUGCGCUUGAUUGCGUGGAGCGGAACUCUAGACUUUUACUUUGAGGAAAUUAGAGUGUUCACGGCAGGCAAACGCCUUGAAUACAUUAGCAUGGAAUAAUAACAUAGGACCUUGGUUCUAUUUUGUUGGUUUCUAGAGCUGAGGUAAUGAUUAAUAGGGAUAAUUGGGGGCAUUCGUAUUAACGCGUCAGAGGUGGAAUUCUUGGAUUGCGUUACGACGAACUACUGCGAAAGCAUUUGCCAAGGGUGUUUUCAUUGAUCAAGAACGAAAGUUAGGGGAUCGAAGACGCUUAGAUACCGUCGUAGUCUUAACCAUAAACUAUGCCGACUAGAGAUUGGAGGUCGUUUUUUUUAUGACUCCUUCAGCACCUUAUGAGAAAUCAAAGUCUUUGGGUUCCGGGGGGAGUAUGGUCGCAAGGCUGAAACUUAAAGGAAUUGACGGAAGGGCACCACCAGGAGUGGAGCCUGCGGCUUA